GAUCCUGGCUCAGGACGAACGCUGGCGGCACGCUUAACACAUGCAAGUCGAACGAGAGAAGAGAAGCUUGCUUUUCUGAUCUAGUGGCGGACGGGUGAGUAACACGUGAGCAAUCUGCCUUUCAGAGGGGGAUACCGAUUGGAAACGAUCGUUAAUACCGCAUAAUAUAAUUGAACCGCAUGAUUUGAUUAUCAAAGAUUUAAUCGCUGAAAGAUGAGCUCGCGU
rnacentral:rRNA from 1 species